UGAGGAAUAUUGCCCAAUGGACGAAAGUCUGAGGCAGCAACGCCGCGUGGAGGAUGAAGGUCUUUGGAUUGUAAACUCCUUUUUUCAGGGAAGAGCGAGGACGGUACCUGAAGAAUAAGUCACGGCUAACUACGUGCCAGCAGCCGCGGUAAUACGUAGGUGGCAAGCGUUAUCCGGAAUUACUGGGCGUAAAGCGCACGCAAGCGGUCUUUUAAGUUUGACGUGAAAGCUCCCGGCUUAACUGGGAGAGGUCGUUGAAGACUGGGAGACUUGAGGCAAGGAGAGGGGUGUAGAAUUCCCGGUGUAGUGGUGGAAUGCGUAGAUAUCGGGGGGAAUACCAGUGGCGAAAGCGACACCCUAGCCUUAGCCUGACGCUCAGGUGCGAAAGCGUGGGGAGCGAACGGGAUUAGAUACCCCGGUAGUCCACGCUGUAAACGAUGAACACUAGGUGUAGGUGAUGUGAAAGUUAUCUGUGCCGAAGCCAACGCGUUAAGUGUUCCGCCGUGGGGAGUACGGCCGACG
rnacentral:rRNA from 1 species